CUAGCCGACGGUGGCGGAUAGCGGGGAAAAUCCGGGACUGAUAGGUAUCGGUUACUCUCGCCAGGCGGAUUCAUUAUAUAUGUAUAGCGCGGAUAAGUGUCACGUACUCCCUCACACCGGGUUGUCAAGUUUGCCUGGUGGAUUCAUUCACCCGCCAACUGCGGAUACACUUCCCGCGCAUGCGCGUGCGCAUGCGCGUUGCCGGCGGUGCACCUCCGGCAACGAAUCUCGUGCGACGCCAUCUUCCUGACUGUGUUGACGGCGCUGUGGUUUGGCUGUGGUACUGCGUCUGCUGUGGACUUCUGGCUGCUGAAUUUCGCGGAUAGAGGCGUACGAAUCGAAAUGGGAGGUUUCGACCACUGAAAGCCAAGUGGAGAGACGUUGACAGACACAAAACGACCGGUGGAGGAGUGGUGCAUGGCGCAAGGCACCGGGGCCUUAUGACCUUAACUCAUAUUUAGCUCGUAUAAUUCAUGUGUGUGGAUAUUGUUGUACGUCUAACUAAAUAAAUAAAUAAGACCAUA